rnacentral:rRNA from 1 species
CCUUGAAAUACCACCCUUUAAUGUUUGAUGUUCUAACGUGGACCCGUGAUCCGGGUUGCGGACAGUGUCUGGUGGGUAGUUUGACUGGGGCGGUCUCCUCCUAAAGAGUAACGGAGGAGCACGAAGGUUGGCUAAUCCUGGUCGGACAUCAGGAGGUUAGUGCAAUGGCAUAAGCCAGCUUGACUGCGAGCGUGACGGCGCGAGCAGGUGCGAAAGCAGGUCAUAGUGAUCCGGUGGUUCUGAAUGGAAGGGCCAUCGCUCAACGGAUAAAAGGUACUCCGGGGAUAACAGGCUGAUACCGCCCAAGAGUUCAUAUCGACGGCGGUGUUUGGCACCUCGAUGUCGGCUCAUCACAUCCUGGGGCUGAAGUAGGUCCCAAGGGUAUGGCUGUUCGCCAUUUAAAGUGGUACGCGAGCUGGGUUUAGAACGUCGUGAGACAGUUCGGUCCCUAUCUGCCGUGGGCGCUGGAGAACUGAGGGGGGCUGCUCCUAGUACGAGAGGACCGGAGUGGACGCAUCACUGGUGUUCGGGUUGUCAUGCCAAUGGCACUGCCCGGUAGCUAAAUGCGGAAGAGAUAAGUGCUGAAAGCA